rnacentral:lncRNA from 1 species
UACACCAUUAUUUUCACCAACCCCUAACUCAACUUUCUUUCAAUUAUGUGUGGAGACAACAAACCACAAAAGUAGGUAAAAGUACCUGUGACUUUGUUAGCAAUCGAAAUCAGAUAUUUUCAUAUCAUUACAAUUGAGAAGACAUCUUGAAAUAUCAAAAACACUCAUCCCAAUGCGGAAAUUAUUAUACAAAAACUAUUAGACCCGCUGCUAGAUCUUGUGAUGUAAAUCACUAAUGAGAAGCACAUAUGUUGCCAUAGCACAAACUUGAAGCUGAGUUGCCUCCACUUGGCUUUUCCACACGCCGCAAGCAGCCUCGAUUUCACCCACCAUUGUCAUCAGGGGCUCCCACUUCCCCCAGCCCCCUACCCAGGGAAGAAACUAUUUGCUGGUGCCAUUUACAGUGAUGGGUGCAGCAAUAUCCUUUCAAGGAAAUUCAUCUGUGGUGAGGGGAUGUGCCCUGUCCGAAAGUGUGAAUCACCUCUGCUGGAACUCUGGGCACUGUAACAUGCAAUCAGGGGCUCUUUGGAGAAGAGGUGUCUGCAUACACCUCGAGGAAUACACAGUCUGCCUGUCUGUAGGGUUGGCCCUCCCUCCAAGCCCUGAUCCUUCUUGAGAAAGACUCUGGCUUCCUAACUUCCCACGAUCUCUAUCAGUAAGGUAGGUAUCCUGCGAGCGGCCCCUUGCCCUGUUCCCUGGGAGAGAGGACAUGACCCAGGAAGUCUCCAAGUACGGGCUGUGCCUGGGGAGGAGGAGCCGGCCGGGGCUGAGGAA